GGGCCCGUGGCGCAGCUUGGUUGGCGCGCUCGGCUGAUAACCGGGAGGUCGAGGGUUCAAAUCCCUCCGGGCCCACCA
rnacentral:tRNA from 1 species